rnacentral:hammerhead_ribozyme from 1 species
AUUCAGGUGACGAGUCCCAGAUAGGAUGAAAUGUGCAUCCUGGAU